AUCCAGCUAAUGUGUCCUAAACAGGACGAGAGGUGUGUCCUGGAU
rnacentral:hammerhead_ribozyme from 1 species